UAUUAUAUAUAUAUAUAUAUGAAUGUAUGUAUAUGUGUGUGUGGUGUAUCAUGAGACAUGUAAAUCAUGAUUUUCAAACACACUUAUAAUUGUAUAUACAUAAUCCUGUAUGCGUAAAUCUGAUGAAAUUUGAGAGAUUGUCAUCUCAUUAAUGAGGUAAAGUAGACGAAAUAAGAAAGAAAAAGAAAAACGAAAUGAAGAAAGAAAGAAAGAAAAAGAAAGUAUGAAAGAAGACAAAAGAAGGAAAGAACAAAGGAAACCAAAAGGAAGCAAUGAUGACUUUGAAGAAAAUGAUGACAAUGUGAAUCCAUCCGUAGAAAAGACCAAUGGCCUUCGUAUCAUUUAAGCCACAGAAGAGUCUAUUGGUAUGGGGGACGGGGUAAAUUGUAUAAUUUGAAGGGAAGGAGCUUUGGGGAGAAGGGAUUUGUGUGUCUUGGAAGUUUGAAGGCUUCUGUUGUGAUGAAAGUUAGCUUGGUUUGGGAUUGUUUGGGGUUUCAUAUUUUUGCUUAUUGUUCUCUAUUUUUAGCUGUUCAAGGCUACGUGGUUUGAUGGAACUGAGGUUUAAGUUGAGUGUGAAAAUAUUCUGAGUAUGUUUACAGACCUUGAUACAAUGUGAAACUAAUACUUUUUUCACAUUCACUUUGAAAAUGAUAAAAACCAAAUUUCAGUGUGUGUGUGUGUGUGUGCCUGUGUAUGUGUGUGUGUGUGUGUGUGCAUGUGUGUGUGUGUGUGUGUGAGUGUGUACCAGCUUCUCUGGUGAGUGCUAUCUUAAGUUAUCACUUAAUUUGUAUGUGAAACUGAUAUAUAUAUAUAUAUAUAUAUAUAUAUAUAUUAUACAUACAUACUUCACUAUUUUAUUUAAAUAACAUGCCAUCUCUUCAUAAGACCAAGUGUCAGUCUGUCAUACAACUGUCACAAGAUAAAUUAUUAUUAUUAUGAUUAUUAUUAUUAUUAUUAUUAUUAUUAUUAUUAUUAUUAUUAGCACUACUAUUACUAUCAUUAUUUUCCCCUUAAUCUUAUGUUAUAGUAUUCUUAAUUUAUUAGUAUAUCCCCCUUUAGGCUCUAAUAAAAUAUUAUUAUCCACUGAUAAUGACCAAAAGUCCUUAGGUGUCACAUCAUUAAUGCUGUGAUUGGGAUUGACCACAUCAACACUUUUCUAUAAUUAUAUGGGCUGUGUUCAAUAUGGAAGCUGUCUCUUGUGACCUUGUAAAUUUUCUGGGCUCCUUUGGAAAAACCACAACAGUACUUUCUACUACAAUUAAAUGUAUGUGUCAAUCACAUACAGUAUUUUCCCAGAUAAGUAGGCAUCUUUCAUGUCUGAUGCUACCACACUAUCUUAUAUUCUAAAUGAUCAAAACUGAAAAGAGAAAAUUCCUUAAAGCAUAAAGCAUAGUUUUCUAUGCUUCCCUAUUACAAAGGUACCAAGUCCUCAGCUUGGAGACAGUGGUUAUACCAACACUUACACAAAUUCUCUAGUUUUGACUUAGAAUCCUGUGCUUCUCAAUCACUAUUUUGAUAUUGACCAUGUAGAUUUCUGUCCAUGCCAUCACUUUAAUAUGGCAUUCUGUCUCCCCAUUAUUAGAUUAGUUUUUAAGCAUUUUUUUUUAGUUUUGUUGUUGUUUCUCCUUUCUACUUAUAAAGUAUCUGUUUUUUUUAAUUGUUGACUUCAUUGAAGACAGCAAACAGUUUUCUGUUUUGUUCAGGUUUUGCAGCUAUUUCUAUUCAUUUUCCAUGAUUCUUUUCUAGAUAUUUUACCAGUUUAUCUUAUAAUAGUUUUCUAGUCACAUUAAGUUCCUGUUUUCCAGUAUCUGUUGUAAAUAUAUUCUCUCUAUGUUAGAUUUUCAAAGGUGUUUUCUAAAUGUAGUUAUUGUUUUCCCUGUUUUUCUGUCUAGUCGUACUAGUUAUUUAAUAAGCAAUUGAAAAUAUUAAAACUAUAACUUAUCACUGGACCAGCUAUAAUAUUGAUGUCUAUUAUGUUUUAUUUUGCAUUUAAUUCUGUCUUGAGUAUUAAUCUACUGUGUUUUCAAUAUCUUUUCUUAACCUUUUCUUUCUGUGUGUGUGUGUGUAUGUGUUUGUAUGUGUUGUAUACUGAUGUUUAAUUAUUUGUAAGUCUGUGUUUGCUGUAAUUCUCUUAUCACUGUUUCCCCCUCUGACAUGACAUUAACAUUCUUGAUUAAUUUUCCUCUCUCCAUGGUUGGUGCAUUUUUCUAAUCCAAAACUCAUAUCAAUUUCUAUAGUAAUUCUAUGUACUACUUGCAGCAGUGUUUCUAGUUGUUUAUCAUCUGCAGCAUUAAAUGUGAAAUCUUUCAUAUACAAAAGAUGAUUACUUGUCCUACCAUAGCUUUUGUAUCCAAGUCCAAUCCUAUUUGAUAUAUUGGUUAAAGGUGAUAGCACCAGGCAGAAAAAGUAGUGGAGAGAGGAAAUCUCUUUGGAAUAUUCUUCUUGUAAUGGAGAUGGGGUUAGAUUUUUAUAAUUCCUUCUGUUGUCUGUAUCAACAGAAUUAUUUGCCAUUUGCUCAUGAUAUACUUAAUGUAUCUGCUUAUUGCUGGUGCUACCUUACACAUGGCUAAUAUUUGCAGGAUCCAUGUGUGAGGAACACUGUAAAAAAGUCUUCUUCUUCUUCUCCUUCUUCUUAUGGAAUGGCUGAAAUGGUAGAGUGUUGAACUUAAUUGCCUUACACUAUGUAGUUUUGCCCCACUGUGUUCUAAGUUCUAAUCCUACCAGGUGGAAUUUGCCUUUCAUCUCUCCAAAGUUGAGGGAAUCAGUACUGGUCAUGUACUGGGGUUUCAGUUCAAUUCACUACACCCCAACUUCCUAUACAUUUGCGGUAUUGUGCCAAUCUAACAACACCAUUAUUAUUGAUAUUAUCAUUAUUAUGAUUAUUAUUGUAGACCAGUAGAUUUGGUGCUAACAUUAGUGAGUCAUACUGAAAGAUUUUUGGUAUCAUGUUCACUGCCUCAUUGUUCUGGGUUCAAAUCCCACUAAGGUCAUUGGGUUUAGUUUUUAUUGUUCCAGAAGGGUCGAGUGAAAAAUAUAUAAUGCUUGUAAUAUACUGGAAACAUCAUUAUUUAACACAUUACAUCAUCUACCAUGACAAAAACUAUCAAAAGUGACAUAUAUGUCUGUUUAUAUGCAUAUAUACAUACAUACAAACAUACACACACACACAUGCACACACACACAUAUAUAUAUAUAUAUGCACACAUACAUAAGUAGUAUCUAUAGAGACAUAUAUAUAUAUUGCAUAUAUGUACUUAAUGUUAGAAACCAUACUAUAUCAUCAUCAUCAUUAUUAUGAAUCACUUUUAUAAUUACUUCAAUUACAAUUAACAUUUCUUUAUUCUUUUUACCUUGGGAACAGGUUGGAAUGUAACAACUUCCCAUCUAUUCUCAACGGCUUCUUAAUUAUCCGUUUAUUAUCCUUUAAUUCAACAUUGUCAACAGAUAAACCAUUUUUGACAUUGUAAUCUCAAGGACUUUGAUUCACCAUCUUCAUGUCUUAUUUAGUUGCAUAUCUGUUUCAUAUUUUUUAAUGAUUAUUUUAUGUAUAUUUUUGUUUCUUCUGUUUUAGUAAUUUUCAUUAUUAUUAUUAUUAUUAUUGGUUUUCAUCAUUCCCUCCCAUGUGAGAGGGGAUUUAUAAGAUAGAGUAGCAAUGAAAUGUGGAUGUUGUUGACUAGUCACUCCUCUCCAAAUAUGGGGUCAGGUAUCUUACCAAUUUAAGAAAUUUCUGAUGUUGUUGCCGGACUUGUUUCUUGGUUGUGUUGUUAUUGUUGUUGUUGAUUCCAUAUUUUGAUUUCAGUCUUCUUUCUAAUGGUGCAUAUUGCAUGUGCAUGUGUGAGCGUAUAUGUGUGAAUGUGUGCGUGUGCAUGUGUAUACAUUCCAAAAGGAUCCUAUGAGAUGUCAUCUGUUCGUCAUACAACUGAAGACAUCCAGUGACACAUACAAACACCCAUGCAUACAUACACACAUGUGCAUACAUAUAUACACAUAUGCUACAAACAUUUGCAUGCCCAUAUGUGUGGACACACACACACACACACACACACACACACACUCACUCACACACAGUGAACACACAGUGAACACUUCCGUAGCAAGUAUACAUACACAUGAAUGUUCUCUGUGAGUAUGUACAGUAGUGAAGGGUUUUUAGGGAUAGGUGAUUAGGCUGCCCCGCCCCCUCAAAUUAUUGGAUUAACAUAGUUAUUUUGCCAUUACCUGUGAGUGGGGGUGGAUUACUAUACUCAAGAUAUCAUCAAUCCACAGCACCCUCUAAAAGAGACAAUCAAAUGGAACUAUUUUUCAUUUUGUGACUGUCUGCAUGUGUGUCUGUCUGUGUGUACACGUGUAUGUGUGUAUCUCUGUGUGUGUGUGUGUGUGUGUGUGUGUGUGUGUGUGUGUGGUGUGUACAUGUGUAUGUGUGUAGGUAUGUGUGUGUAGCAUUGUUUGCUUGUUGUGCAUCUGUCUUAAAUACUUCAGUGAGCUUCAGCUUCUUGUGUACUCCAGAGUACUUGUUUGCACUUCGGUGUGGGCACAGCCAAAUGGUUAAGAAUUUCCUUUUGCAAUCAUAAAGUACUUGGGUUUUGACACAGACCUGCCAUCCCUUAAUUCGUCCCAUUGGGCAAAUGUCUUGAUUUGACCCAAGUCUUGAGUUGACCCAAGCCUUGAGAAUUGAAUAGGGUAGAUGGAAACUGUGAGGAAACCUGCUGGAUGGAUUGUACCUGUAGUUCAAAGGCCCAGUUUUGUCAUACGUUAUGUCACACUACUAAUUAUUACUGAGGAUUACAUUAAAGGUGCAAGUGUAUAUGAUGGAAUACCAACUUAUUAGUGAUAAUUCAAUGAGUGUACUACACAUGCACAUUUACACACAUACACACAUAUAUAUAAAUGUGCACAUGUGUGUCUGGGUUAGACUCAUCAAGCUCUCAGCAACAUGUGUGUGUGUGUGUGUGUGUGUGUGUGUGUGUGUGUGUGUGUGUGUGUGUGUGCAUGUGUACAUUGCAGAUAUAUAAAUAACUGAGGUGUUGCUGAAAUGUAUAUAUAUAUAUAUAUAUAUAUAGUGGAUAGUUUUAUACUGUGGCAUUGUAUACUAAAAUUAUUCCUUUAAUCCAAACAUAAUUGAAAGGUAUCAAUGUAAUACAAAGGACCAAAAUAAAUUCCUUAUAUUCUUCAAAGAUUACAUUAAGGAACAAAUAUUUGCAAUAAUCAGCUACAUCCUUUAAUAACCUAAUGAGAAAGUAGUUCCUUUGAUCAAAGAACUGAAAGGUUUAUGGCCAAAACCAAUGUGAAAUCCAUUUCUCUUCUGUACCCUGGUAUAGUCUGGAUCAAAUAUGUCAGUUGUGUGGCUCUCUUAAGUUCAUACAGCAAUGCAAAACUGUUGUGAACUCAAAGUCAUGGGUUGUUGUUCUUCUCAGUUACACUUUCAUCUUUAUCUCCCCUUUUACUUUCCAAGAUGUAGUGAUUCCGAUAAAUGUUUUCAAGAGCUGCAAAUCAAUUCCUGGAAAUAUUUCUGCCAACUUACUGUGAAGAUAGAUUAGAUCCUUCUCAUGCAAUAGAUUCUAAGUCAUACUAGAAUUUAUUGCAUUCCUCUAAAGAUUUCUUCACAGAAUUCUUUUAAAAAUUGCUAUUUUAUCCUUUCUUUUUUUAUGGCAUGUAAUAUAUAGUGAUUUUUUAUCCUUUUAUUGGGCAUUUCUGAAGACAAUCAAAACCUUUGAAAUCCUACAUGCCACCACCCACUCUAUGAGAGGGGAAGCUUGAUUUUUUUAAGACUUCACUUCAUGAUUUCGAGAAAUAUUCCAAAAAUUUCUUCUCUGACAUCUGUACAGCUUCUGAUGUCUGUACAACAUCAUGUAACCAAGUAGCAACCAACGUCUGUACAGCAUAUGUACAAUAUCAGACAUUUGUACAGUAUCUAAAAUUUUUAUAGCAUCAAACAUUUGUAUACCAUCUGGCAGCUGUACACCAUCAGAACACUGUCUAACAUCUGCCUGUAUCCUACUUGCCUAUGUACACCUCUGCCAUCUGUAUACCACCAGGUAUCUAUAUACCAUUUGGUAUCUGUAUGCCACCUGGUACCUACAUAUAUACUGUCUCUACACCAUUCCAUUGUACACUAUUUGGAAUCUGGACAACAUCUGGCAUCUAUCUGUAGAGCAUCUGUAUAUUAUCUAGAAUGUGUAUACAUGUAAGGAAAAAAAAACGCUUACAACACAAGGUCAAAUGUCGCAAUCUUAUGUAGAACAACCUUGACCUCUGUGAAAUUGUAAACCUUUGCAGGGCAUUGAUAGAAUGGGAAGUAUUUGUAAAGCAUCUUCCCUGUAAACCACAUCUUCCUACUUCCGAUGAAAUGAAUACCCACCAUCAGCAAUCAUCAUAACCAUUACCAACAUGUUUGUGGCUAUCAUUACUGUUGUUUUUGAGGAAGAUGAUGAGGAUGAUGAUGAUGAUAAUGAUGUUGUCGUGAGUGUUGUGUUGUCAAUGUUGUAUCUUUAUUUUAGGGAGAAGGUUAAGUAAGUGAAGCACAAAAUAAAAAUGUCUUGCAGGUACUAGUUUACAUCAUUUUACAUUCAAAGUUCAAAUUUCAUCAAGGUUUAUGAAUUAGAAAUAGUUAUCAGUCAAAUACUGGAGUCAGUCUCUAAUUGACUAUACACUCACUUCCCACCCAAAUUUGUGGCCUUGAACCUUUAUUAGAUAUCACCGUAAUCAAUAAGGAUGCAGGGAGAAAGAGAGAGAAAAACAGAGUGAGAAAGAAAUACAGAGGGAAACAUAGAGAGAGAGAGGAAGACAGAUAGAAAUAGAGUUACAUAGACAUGAAGGAUAUGAUAAAAGAUAGGUACAAACAAGAAGGACCAGAAGUAUCAUAUGAAUGUGGAGAAGAGAGGAGAGUUGGGUAAGGGUGGAUUGACUUGCUUGCAGUCUGGGUUAAGAGGAGAUGGAAACAAAGGAAAGAAACCAGCUACAAAGGGAUGGCAGCCAUCAAUUCACUACAUCUCUUUGCUACUUUGAUAUCACUUUUUCCCAAACAACAUAGGGUCCUGAGCUAUAACAUUUGCAUCAUACCCAACUUUAGUUAAGUGUAGACUAAUAUAUUUCAUGUAAUUAGUUUUUAAGAAAAUACUCAACCAUUCAAAGUUAAACUUAUAAUGAAAGAACAGUCAUUAACAUUAAAGACCGUGUUUUCUGAUGAAAUCAGAGAAGAGAAUUUCAAAGGUAAAUUCAUUAGUGGUUUUAUUAGGUUUCAUUUUGGGAAAGUAUGGUAACAACUCCAGACAUAUUUCAGUCCUGUUAGACCUUUUCAGUGAAGUAUUGUCUUAUUUGCACAGACCAGAUCAUAAAAAGAUUAUAGUAAUUUUUGUGGAAAAUAAAUCACAAAUUGGACUGUUAUUCUACACUAUCUUGUUUCAUACAUAUAUCCUUGCCAUUGGUGGUUCUGUGAGGUCUACAGCAAAAUAAAUACACAGACAUACAUGAGGGAGAUUUGGUGGUGGGCUUUUUUUUUUUUUUUUGUUAUGAUGGUUUAAAACUUUGCUGAACUUCCAAGACAGUUGAAGG